AGUGAACGCUGGCGGUAGGCCUAACACAUGCAAGUCGAACGGCAGCACAGUAAGAGCUUGCUCUUACGGGUGGCGAGUGGCGGACGGGUGAGGAAUACAUCGGAAUCUACUUUUUCGUGGGGGAUAACGUAGGGAAACUUACGCUAAUACCGCAUACGACCUACGGGUGAAAGCAGGGGAUCUUCGGACCUUGCGCGAUUGAAUGAGCCGAUGUCGGAUUAGCUAGUUGGCGGGGUAAAGGCCCACCAAGGCGACGAUCCGUAGCUGGUCUGAGAGGAUGAUCAGCCACACUGGAACUGAGACACGGUCCAGACUCCUACGGGAGGCAGCAGUGGGGAAUAUUGGACAAUGGGCGCAAGCCUGAUCCGGCCAUACCGCGUGGGUGAAGAAGGCCUUCGGGUUGUAAAGCCCUUUUGUUUGGAAAGAAAAGCAGCAGGUUAAUACCCCGCUGUUCUGACGGUACCCAAAGAAUAAGCACCGGCUAACUUCGUG
rnacentral:rRNA from 1 species